rnacentral:rRNA from 1 species
ACUACGGGUGGCAGUAGUGGGGAAUAUUGCACAAUGGGGGAAACCCUGAUGCAGCGACGCCGCGUGAGCGAUGAAGUAUUUCGGUAUGUAAAGCUCUAUCAGCAGGGAAGAAAAUGACGGUACCUGACUAAGAAGCCCCGGCUAACUACGUGCCAGCAGCCGCGGUAAUACGUAGGGGGCAAGCGUUAUCCGGAUUUACUGGGUGUAAAGGGAGCGUAGACGGCUGUGCAAGCCAGAUGUGAAAGCCCGGGGCUCAACCCCGGGACUGCAUUUGGAACUGUGUGGCUGGAGUGUCGGAGAGGCAGGCGGAAUUCCUAGUGUAGCGGUGAAAUGCGUAGAUAUUAGGAGGAACACCAGUGGCGAAGGCGGCCUGCUGGACGAUGACUGACGUUGAGGCUCGAAAGCGUGGGGAGCAAACAGGAUUAGAUACCCGAGUAGUC